rnacentral:rRNA from 1 species
AUGUACCAGUUCAAAUUAAAGCUUGAAAGCUCAAACCCGGUGCUCCGGGGACACCUCGUGGAGAUCCUUCUCCGGCCAGCUUCCGGCGUCGGCACGGGCUCUGUGGCCGGCGUAUAUGCAGCACCAGGCGAGUGCCAUGGCGAGACAGCCGAGCGCGGUCAAGGCGAACUUGGGCGCCAGGUCCGGGGUGUCACCGGCGAGCUGCAGCACGAUCAUGCCGCCCACCGCCAGCGAGGCCGCCCACACUCUGAGCCUGGCCCGCCGCUGCUCGGGCGCCGCCGCCGGGUCGUCGUCGCGGCGCAGGAGCUCGUGCCUCCUGAUGCAAACGUAGAGCCCCCAGAGUCAGAAGUAGGUGGGGCAGUAUGCCAUGAUCACGAACGCUAG